AAACUCUAGCUUCUCUUCAGAUAUCGAAUAAAUCUUUUGCCUUUUACUAAAGAUUUCCGUGGACAGGAGCACUCUAAUGAGUCUAUAAUAAAUUGGUUGAUCUCAAAUCUUGUACUUCAAU